rnacentral:ncRNA from 1 species
AAAAUUUUAUAAUGAUUUUUAAACUAAUAAUAUUUUUUUAUUAUUAUAAAAUAAUUUAAUAUUAAAAAUUAAUUUAAUUUAGUGAUUAGAUUUAAAUGAUUAAUGAAAGUUAAAUUUAGAGAAAAAUUUUAGUAAAGAUUAAAAUUAGUGCCAGCAAUAGCGGUUAAACUAAUUUUGCAAAUUAGUUUAAUUAAUUAAUAUUAAUAUAAAAUUAAAUAAAAUUUAAUUAAAUUUUUAGAUUUUAGGUGAAAUUUAAUUUUUAAAUAUAUUAAAUUUAAUAUUUAUAAAUAUAAUAAGAUAUAUUAAUAAACUAGGAUUAGAUACCCUAUUAUAUAAAAUAAUAAUAUUUAAUUUAUAAAUAAAUGUAUAAUCAUUAAAAUUAAAUUAUAUGGCGGCUUUUCAUUCUUAUUAGAGAAAUUUGUAAUUUAAUUUGAUAAUCCACGAUAAGAUUUACUUAAAUUUAAAUUUAUAUAUUGUUGUUUAUUUUGAAAUAAAAUUUAUUAUUAGUAAUAUUUAAUAAAAUAAUAAUUCAAAUCAAAAUGUAGUAUAUUUAAGAAUUUAUGAAUUAUAAUAAAUUUAAUUUUUGAAUAAUUAAAAUUUUAAUGUUAAUUUGAAAGAGGAUUUAAUAGUAAAUUUAAUAAAUUAAUUAAAUUGAAAUUAGUUUUGAAAAGUGUACAAAUUGCCCGUCAAUUUCCUUUAAGGAAUAAGUCGUAACAUAGUAAAAAUAUUGGAAAAUGUUUUUAGAAU